AAAAGAAACUUUGCAGAUUAUGCUUGCUCUGGAGAAGAAUGGAGAAGAUCAGGGAAAGUCUGAAUGAAGGCCAGCAGGCAGUAUCAGCCGAACCAAGAAGGGCCAUAAAGCUGCAGACCAGGAAAUCUGCCCUCUGAGAGCACAGAAUUUAGAAUGGACAGCAAAUUUAGUAAAAGUGUUCCAGCUAGAAGAUUUGGAUGAAAAGUGAUUCCAAAAAAAUGAGGCAAUCUCAUCCCGAAACUAUUUAAAACUACUCUCCUCUCUCUUGAUAAACCGUCAGUAGGAAGUGUGUCGUUUAUUCCCUCACUCCACACUGGAUUCAUAUGGGCUGAUAGCAGCAGGAUUAAAAAUUUUUUUCAUCAUGAGUUAAAUCCCUAAGAUUUAGAGUAUUUUGUUUGUCUGAAUGUCUAAGCGGUACAAACCUUAGCAAUCCAUAUUAAAAUGGAGAAUUCCUUCUUUUGGUAUUCACAAGCAUAACAUACAUAAUCCUUUAUCUCUGGCAAAGCUAUUCACUUUUUGGCCUUUGGCUGUUCGAUG
rnacentral:lncRNA from 1 species